rnacentral:lncRNA from 1 species
UGACCUGGCUAACUUUGAUUAGUAUUUAAGGAAAGCAACAAGGGGGACUCUCACUCAUCUUAACUUACCUAGCCAUCUUGGGAGAUUCAGUUUUGUGCUAGGUUACUUGUUGACUCGAGUUCAUCCAUACCGACUAGGCUGGUUAGAUAUGUUGAUGUGCUGGUCUGAAUUUGAUCAGUCGGAUGUCAGAUCUGCUGAUUUAGAACAGAUCUAAACUUAAAUCUUCUCAUUAAAU